CUUUUUGAGAUUUCUCACUCGGUGUCUCUGGCACUUUAAAUAAUGCCAGCAAAAUGAUAUGGAGUGUGGUAGGUCCCGGAACCAUUUAUCAGUCGCUCUCCCCUCUCCACAGUCCACUCUCCCCAAACAAACCCGCCUUUCUCCUUGAAACCCUAGUUUUUUUUAUUACUCUUAAUUCUUCUGCAAAUCGCUCCUGCUUGUCUACAGUUUCGAUGGGCAAUUGUUUAACUACGGUUCCGAUGAGGAACUGCUUAACUAAGGUUCCACUUGGGAACUUUAAUUUGCUUCCGGAAGAGAUCAUUUUAGAUAUCUUAUCACGUCUGCCAACUGAGUCUGUUUUUGAGUGCAAAUUGGUAUCAAAAUUAUGGAGAGAUUUGCUUCAACAUCCAUCUUUUCCACGACUGCACUGCAAUCAUCUUGAUUCUGCUCAUGAUUCUGAUGGUAAGUUGAGUUUCAUAUUUUAUACAGAAGGAUCUGAUGAAGAACCGUUUCACUAUACUGAGUAUGUUGAGAAAUUAAACCGUUUCAGUAGAAUAAAAAUGAUCAAUUUCAGACCUCCAUUUAAGGAAUCUUAUAUUCUUGGUUCAUGUAAUGGUCUUAUUUGUUUCAAUACACGCCUUGAUAAUAGUUUCUAUUUGCAACCUGCUUACAUCUGUAAUCCCAUCACCAGAGAGUAUAUCGUCAUUCCAAAUAUCGAAAGAAAACGAUUCUUAAGUGGAUUUGGUUACAUUCCUUCAACCAAGGAGUACAAGGUUGUAAGAAUUUAUAACUCCAAGGAAGACCCAGAUUAUGGAAUUACUCAGGUGUACACUCUUGGCAGUGGCAUUGGAUGGAGAAAUAGUAGAAAGAUGGACUACAAUGUGUUAUCUUUUCGUCAACUUGGUGCGUCUGCAAAUGGAGCUAUUCAUUGGGUGGACUCCAGAGGAAGCAUUGUUGCCUUUGAUUUGAUCGAUGAAGAGUUUCGACUACUUUCAUCAUCACCACCUUGUUCGCUACCAGCUUUUGUUGAACUACAUGUUUUCGGCGGUUUUUUAUGUGCAUGUCAUCACUCAAUUGGAGGUUUUGACACAUGGGUUUUAAGGAAGAAUAAAAAUAAUCAUGAUGUGGUUUGGAGUAAAGAGUUCAGCAGUAGCUUUGGGGAACCAAUUAACUUUACGAAGAGUGGUUGGCUUUUAUGCUACGAUUAUCGUGAUAAACAUGUCUAUCGAUACGCUCCAAAAGCUUCAUCUUCCAGAAUGCUUGUGAAUUUUGGAAAGAGUGUUAGUAUUGGAGUCUCUCACAAGAACACCUUAGUGUCAUUGAAAGCUUUAGGAGAAGAUGAUACAAAACUAAUGGAUUCGGGUGAAAGAGCAAGUUCUAGCGGGGGACAGAAAGCAGUUAUCGUUAGCCAACGUGACAGAAGGAAGAGAGAGAUCUCUGGUGGUAGUUUUUGACAGGCUGCGGGUGUGCAGUCUUCUUCUCUUUAGGCAGUCAGGCUCUGCGUAGUCGUUUGAGCUAUUAGCUGCUGUUACUGACAAUUACUCCAGAAUUAAUUUGAAGAAUGGAUCACGUGCAAAAUUGGUAUAGAGAAGCCUCAAGGUUUCUGCAUGCCUGGCGUUAAGAAGAGGAACAAGCAGUGUAUUGUAUGUUGCAGAUACAGAGAAUCGAGCAAUGAACUUUUGUAACUAGGACUCUGAACCAAUCUUACAAGACCAAGUCCUUCUUAAGCGAUAUUGUUAUACAUGUGUCAAUUCAUUAAAUGUCUAUCUAAAUAGUUGCCAACUUUUUUCUAAUUUGAUCACUUUCUUACCUAUAUUGGAAUGAGCAUAUCAUUUUGAAUA